CGAAAGCAUGGGGAGCGAACAGGAUUAGAUACCCUGGUAGUCCAUGCCGUAAACGUUGGGCACUAGGUGUGGGGGACAUUCCACGUUUUCCGCGCCGUAGCUAACGCAUUAAGUGCCCCGCCUGGGGAGUACGGCCGCAAGGCUAAAACUCAAAGGAAUUGACGGGGGCCCGCACAAGCGGCGGAGCAUGCGGAUUAAUUCGAUGCAACGCGAAGAACCUUACCAAGGCUUGACAUGAACCGGUAAUACCUGGAGACAGGUGCCCCGCUUGCGGUCGGUUUACAGGUGGUGCAUGGUUGUCGUCAGCUCGUGUCGUGAGAUGUUGGGUUAAGUCCCGCAACGAGCGCAACCCUCGUUCUAUGUUGCCAGCGCGUGAUGGCGGGGACUCAUAGGAGACUGCCGGGGUCAACUCGGAGGAAGGUGGGGACGACGUCAAAUCAUCAUGCCCCUUAUGUCUUGGGCUUCACGCAUGCUACAAUGGCCGGUACAAAGGGUUGCGAUACUGUGAGGUGGAGCUAAUCCCAAAAAGCCGGUCUCAGUUCGGAUUGGGGUCUGCAACUCGACCCCAUGAAGUCGGAGUCGCUAGUAAUCGCAGAUCAGCAACGCUGCGGUGAAUACGUUCCCGGGCCUUGUACACACCGCCCGUCAAGUCACGAAAGUUGGUAACACCCGAAGCCGGUGGCCUAACCCUUGUGGGGGGAGCCGUCGAAGGUGGGACCGGCGAUUGGGACUAAGUCGUAACAAGGUAGCCGUA
rnacentral:rRNA from 1 species